UAGUUAGUAGUAUUCUCCUUUAAUUUUCAGCUUGAGUAUUGGCGGCAAGCGAUAAUCUUAUUAGUCAAGUAUGAUUUGAUUCUUGGUUUUAUAAUUCUCUAUACUGAUUUAGAUUUGACUUUUUCUCAUUGCAAAGGAAACUAGCAGACAAGGUAGCAGCAGCUGGAUUCCAGCUGGAUUCUUGGUUGUAGUUCCUGAUCUUCUGUAUGGUGAAUACUUUAGUUAUGAUCCUCAAUUUGAUAGAGAAGGAUGGUUGAAGAAACAUGGAGAGGCUAAGGGAUGUGAAGACACCAAACCUAUUAUUUGCUUUUUAUUGGUUUGCUGCUGCUUCUUGUUUUCUUGAUGAACUUCUUCUCCAAUGUUUUCAGAGGAGAAGCUUCCAUCUUCAUUACCUGACAUAUUAUUUGACAUUUUUGGAUACAAUACCUUUUCAUUAGAAAUUAGCAUAAGAUUUUUAUUAGUCUAUUUGACCUUUCAUUUUUGUUUUAGUCUGUUAGGGACAAUAACCUUGUAAAUUUUGCUUACUUUUCUGUAGCAAUUCUACAGCAACUCAUUCAAGAUGAGCCAGGAUGCUUGUUGGGGAUGUGCCAUGGCAAAAAGCAUCUUUUUAUCUUUUUAUUUGUUUAUUUUUAUUAUAUAUAUUCUAUGACCAAUGACAAAUUUGCAUCUUAUUCUCUUAUUAAAGUUCUGCAAUAGCAAUGAGUCUAGUUAGAUUGUUAAUGCUAAACCUGGGAUAUCUCAUGUUUGGUGACGAAGUUUUGCCUCAGAUAACAUUGAACUUGCCUACUAAUGCCUUUGCUUCCAAAAUUUCCCUAUGGAUAAUAGUACUUAGCCCCUUCACCAAAUAUCCUUAUUUUUAGCCACAUGCUAAUACUUAUCUAUGAAAGUAGAGCAAGACUUGUUCAUGUUCAUGGAACUUUUUUAGUCUAAAUUUUCCUUAAUUUUAAACAAAUGUGCUUUGACCAUGAACCCGCUUGCAAGGAGUCUGGAGGAGUUGCUGCCCCAUAGAAUUUCAAGUACCACUUGGUGUUUCAUGCUGCUCAGAACAAUAUUGGUUAUGGUUAUACUUUUAGCUGCUUUUCUAAUUCCUUAUUUUGGACUUGUGAUGGCUUUAAUUGGUUCUUUCCUCAGUACAUUUGUGACGGGCUAAAAGGGCAGUUGUUGCUAUGUUUGCAAGAUCAAAAGAAAGUGUGAAGAUAGAAGAUAUUAACAUGACUGAGGAGGAAAGAACUGAGAAAGAACAGAAGGAGCUUAUGCCUUUACUCACGGGCGGAAAAUUGAAGUCUUGUCAGCAUAAAGGUGUAAAGUGGUUGAUUUCACUGCAAAAUAAUAUGUAUUAAGAGUUACAUAUUAAGACUUCCAAUACUUUAUUUGUAUAAGAGUUAUUAUUUUUUA